GAGGAGGUGGAGUAGGUUGGUCUCCCUCCUAGAGGCCCUCUUAGAUCAGCAGGGUGAGGAGUGGCUAGACAUCGAUCCCUUUUGAGAUAGGGAGCUCGAGGAUCGAUGCAUCCUAUCUUAUUCAGGGCUCUGAGGAUGAGAAUGGUGGUUGCACAGGGUCCUCCACGAGCUCUAAGGAUGGAGGCGAUAAUUUUGUUGUGUCCGCCCUAGACUCCAAGGAGGAGAGUGGUGGCUUGGCUGCGUUGGGACUCUAUGGUCGCUCGGCUUGCGAUUGUUGCUAUUAUUGCUGGUGGUGGUGCUUGGCAGUUGUCUGCUGCAGGUUCUAGAUGAUUAUAGUCAGUGCAUGAACCUGUUGUAUAAGCAACUGA
rnacentral:lncRNA from 1 species